rnacentral:lncRNA from 1 species
UCGGCAUAACAUGAAGGCAAAAUAGGAAGGAAAAAAGCAAAAAACAAACGAGGGAAUGUCAAUCAGUGACUUAAUUGCAAUUGAGAAAGAAUUUCAAGAAUAGAGUUAGAGUUCGAGUGAGGAAAGAGAUAAAUUGGGUUUCCUCAGGGAGGAUCUUGUGCUGGUCAAAGGAUAAUCUAAAGGAAUGACUAUUGUUUAUAUUUUCAAUCGUGAAGAAUUGGACACUCUGUUUGAGGUGAGAGAAGGC